CAUUGCACUCCAGCUUGGGCAACAAGAGCGAAACUCGUCUAAAAACAAAAACAAACAACAACAAAAAACAAAAACAGAACCUUACUGGAAAGAGGCCGCUAACAUAUUUUCAUGUACAAACCAAAUGGACUCUAAGACCAGAACACCUGAACCACGCCAAAGUGCCACCAGCAGGACACGUUUCAGAUGGCAGCUGGGCCUGGUACUAGGCUCUCCUGCAGCCUACAUGGCCAUUCUGCCAUCCCAGGCCACAUAGAAAUCUGCAGGCUCAGAUGGGAAACUGAGGUCCGUGAAGUCACUUGCCUGGAUCACACAGCUCAUGACCAGUAUGGGUCGGCCUGGGACACAGGCAUUCUGGGGCUCACCACCAGGUGUUCCACGUGUCACCACUAGACCUCCCAACCAGGGAGCCCUGCCGCUGCCCCAGCCUGGAGACGUGACACUUCUCCCAGCCAGGAGGCUCCAGUGAAACCAGGGAUUCCCCAGGCUCACCCUGACUCCUCAUCUUGUUAACGUAUUUAAUCCUCAUCCUGUACAUGAAAUAAAUAUUUCAUCUCAUCUAUUUAUUAUUUGUUUAUCGUGGGCAUUUAUCCAUCCUAAGCUUACUCUCUGCUCAAAUCUUCUCCACACGGGUUCGCUCAGGUUACCAAUUUUGUCUCAGCUUCCAUCAGGCAGAGCCACGUGUGUUGCCAUAGCCAACAUCACAAAAAAAUCUCAUUUCAUGCAUUUCAUAGGCAUGAGUGGCCUGACUUGAAAAUAUCAGUGGAACCUGCUCAUGGGGACAGGGGUUGCAUAGCACCCUGAGGCCCAUGAGGUACCUGGUACAGAGUGAGCACCCAGGAAGGGAGGCUGGGUUAUUAGUACCGCUGUUUUCCAGGGCUUGGUGUGGCUGAUAAAUUUUUGGUCUCUUCCCCUUCUCUUCAUAUCACAGGUUAACAGGUUCACUUCCCAAUGUUACUCAUGUCUACAAAAUGGUAAGAAAAAGCAACUGUGCAAAUGAGGCAAGUUACAUGUCCUGGUACCAAAGUGAUGGUUACUAAGGCAGUUGGCCUCCAACAUGGUCUCCAAACAAUUCGCACCUCCUGGCAUUCACACAUUUCCACAAUCAAUCAGGCUGGCCUGCAUAACCAAUAGGAUACUGAGGAAAUGACUGCAUGUACUGUUCAAGGCUAGGUCAUAAAAGGUACUGCAGCUUCAGUCUCACUCUCUUGCAUCACUCACUCUGAGAAGCCAGCCGCCAUAUUGUGGGGAAACUCAAGCAGCCUGCUGAAGUCUGCAUGGCAUGGAGCUGAAGCCUCUUUGUCAGCCAUGUCAGUGAGCCAUUUAGGAAACAGAUCCUCUAUCCUCAGUCAAGGCUUCAGAUGACCACAGCCCCAGCUGACAUCUUGAUGGCAACCUUAAGACAGACCAGCCAGCUAAGCCACAUCUGAAUUCCUGACCCACAGAAGCUGAGAUACUAAAAUGCCUAUUUUAAGCCACUAAGUUUGGGAUAAUUUGUACUCCACAGUAGGUAAGGAACUAAUACAGAAACAGAGAGACCUUUUAGUUAUGAGAGCCUUCCACCGACUAUGUUCCCAAAGUGUGUUCCUUGGAAUGCUGAUCCCAGGCUUUGCUCUGGAAAACCAAGAUCAGUUGAAUGGAGGCAGACUGUGGAUUCCAGUCUCCUGUUCAAGAUUCCCAUGCUCCUUGGCAUAUUAAAGUAGACCCCUCUAGGCGAGGAAGCUGUUCCCUUAACAUAGCACUUCUCAGGGGCCUUUGACCGUGGAACUCUGGUGUCAGAGCCUCAGAGCACGCUUUGGGACACAGAGCCAAACUGUCAUGGCAACUGAUUCCUUGAAUACUUUAAACAAUUGUGCCCAAUACAAAACUAAAAAUAGGCCAGGCCCAGUGGCUCAUGCCUGUAAUCCCAGGCACUUUGGGAGACUGAGGCAAGAGAAUCACUUGAGGCCAGCCUGGCUGGGCAACAUGGUAAAACCACUUCUCUAACAAAAACAACAAAAGCCAGGCAUGGUGGCACAUACCUGUCAUCCAAGCUACUUGGGAGGCUGAGGUGGGAAGAUUGCUUGAGCCCAGGAGUUCGAGGUUCCUGGGUGACAAAGUGAGACCCUAUCUUUAAAAUUAAAGGCUGCGGUGAGAUAAGAUCAUGCCACUACACUCCAGUUUGAACAAUGGAACAAGAUCUUGUCUCUAAAUAAAUAAAUAAAAAUUAAAAUAACUAAAAAUACUCACAGCCUAAUAUCCAGAGUCUGACCGGGCAUGGUGGCUCAUGUCUGUAAUCCCAGCACUUUGAGAACCUGAGGCGGGAGAAACAUUUGGGGUCAGGAGAUCGAGACCAG
rnacentral:lncRNA from 1 species